GCCUGAUGGCUCAGUGAGUUGAGCGUCUGACUUCAGCUCAGGUCAUGAUCUCACGGUUCGUGGGUUCGAGCCCCGCGUCGGGCU
rnacentral:tRNA from 1 species